rnacentral:misc_RNA from 1 species
UUGAUUGAUUUGUAUUCAAUACUCGACGCAAAGAUGCAGGGUUGGUUGGUCCUCUGGGGGACUCCCGAGCGCGGACGGCCGGGUCGCCCCCCGAGGCAACAGUUAAUAUCGACAAAGGGUUGGAGGUCGGGCGCGAGGGCCCUCACUCGGUAAUGAUCCCUCCGCAGGUUCACCUACGGAGA